rnacentral:rRNA from 1 species
GAUGAACGCUGGCGGCGUGCCUAAUACAUGCAAGUCGAGCGAACCGACGAGGAGCUUGCUCCUCUGACGUUAGCGGCGGACGGGUGAGUAACACGUGGAUAACCUACCUAUAAGACUGGGAUAACUUCGGGAAACCGGAGCUAAUACCGGAUAAUAUAUUGAACCGCAUGGUUCAAUAGUGAAAGACGGUUUUGCUGUCACUUAUAGAUGGAUCCGCGCCGCAUUAGCUAGUUGGUAAGGUAACGGCUUACCAAGGCAACGAUGCGUAGCCGACCUGAGAGGGUGAUCGGCCACACUGGAACUGAGACACGGUCCAGACUCCUACGGGAGGCAGCAGUAGGGAAUCUUCCGCAAUGGGCGAAAGCCUGACGGAGCAACGCCGCGUGAGUGAUGAAGGUCUUCGGAUCGUAAAACUCUGUUAUUAGGGAAGAACAAAUGUGUAAGUAACUAUGCACGUCUUGACGGUACCUAAUCAGAAAGCCACGGCUAACUACGUG